UGGGAACGUGCCCUUUGGUUCGGAAUAACUUAGGGAAACUUGAGCUAAUACCGAAUAAGCCCUUACGGGGAAAGAUUUAUUGCCGAAGGAGCGGCCCGCGUCCGAUUAGCUAGUUGGUGGGGUAAUGGCCCACCAAGGCUACGAUCGGUAGCUGGUCUGAGAGGAUGACCAGCCACACUGGGACUGAGACACGGCCCAGACUCCUACGGGAGGCAG
rnacentral:rRNA from 1 species